rnacentral:sRNA from 1 species
GGAGGCUGGACACCUGUUCUGCUGUUGUGUCUUGCCAUUCUCCUGAAGAACAGAGGCACACUGUAAAACCCAACACUUCCCCUUGCAUUCUAUGAGAUUACAGCAAGAUGGAAAUACCAAAUCCCCCUACCUCCAAAUGUAUCACUUACUGGAAAAGAAAAGUGAAAUCUGAAUACAUGCGACUUCGACAACUUAAACGGCUUCAGGCAAAUAUGGGUGCAAAGGCUUUGUAUGUGGCAAAUUUUGCAAAGGUUCAAGAAAAAACUCAGAUCCUCAAUGAAGAAUGGAAGAAGCUUCGUGUCCAACCUGUUCAGUCAAUGAAGCCUGUGAGUGGACACCCUUUUCUCAAAAAGUGUACCAUAGAGAGCAUUUUCCCGGGAUUUGCAAGCCAACAUAUGUUAAUGAGGUCACUGAACACAGUUGCAUUGGUUCCCAUCAUGUAUUCCUGGUCCCCUCUCCAACAGAACUUUAUGGUAGAAGAUGAGACGGUUUUGUGCAAUAUUCCCUACAUGGGAGAUGAAGUGAAAGAAGAAGAUGAGACUUUUAUUGAGGAGUUGAUCAAUAACUAUGAUGGGAAAGUCCAUGGUGAAGAAGAGAUGAUCCCUGGAUCCGUUCUGAUUAGUGAUGCUGUUUUUCUGGAGUUGGUCGAUGCCCUGAAUCAGUACUCAGAUGAGGAGGAGGAAGGGCACAAUGACACCUCAGAUGGAAAGCAGGAUGACAGCAAAGAAGAUCUGCCAGUAACAAGAAAGAGAAAGCGACAUGCUAUUGAAGGCAACAAAAAGAGUUCCAAGAAACAGUUCCCAAAUGACAUGAUCUUCAGUGCAAUUGCCUCAAUGUUCCCUGAGAAUGGUGUCCCAGAUGACAUGAAGGAGAGGUAUCGAGAGCUAACAGAGAUGUCAGACCCCAAUGCACUUCCCCCUCAGUGCACACCCAACAUCGAUGGCCCCAAUGCCAAGUCUGUGCAGCGGGAGCAAUCUCUGCACUCCUUCCACACACUUUUUUGCCGGCGCUGCUUUAAAUACGACUGCUUCCUUCACCCUUUUCAUGCCACCCCUAAUGUAUAUAAACGCAAGAAUAAAGAAAUCAAGAUUGAACCAGAACCAUGUGGCACAGACUGCUUCCUUUUGCUGGAAGGAGCAAAGGAGUAUGCCAUGCUCCACAACCCCCGCUCCAAGUGCUCUGGUCGUCGCCGGAGAAGGCACCACAUAGUCAGUGCUUCCUGCUCCAAUGCCUCAGCCUCUGCUGUGGCUGAGACUAAAGAAGGAGACAGUGACAGGGACACAGGCAAUGACUGGGCCUCCAGUUCUUCAGAGGCUAACUCUCGCUGUCAGACUCCCACAAAACAGAAGGCUAGUCCAGCCCCACCUCAACUCUGCGUAGUGGAAGCACCCUCGGAGCCUGUGGAAUGGACUGGGGCUGAAGAAUCUCUUUUUCGAGUCUUCCAUGGCACCUACUUCAACAACUUCUGUUCAAUAGCCAGGCUUCUGGGGACCAAGACGUGCAAGCAGGUCUUUCAGUUUGCAGUCAAAGAAUCACUUAUCCUGAAGCUGCCAACAGAUGAGCUCAUGAACCCCUCACAGAAGAAGAAAAGAAAGCACAGAUUGUGGGCUGCACACUGCAGGAAGAUUCAGCUGAAGAAAGAUAACUCUUCCACACAAGUGUACAACUACCAACCCUGCGACCACCCAGACCGCCCCUGUGACAGCACCUGCCCCUGCAUCAUGACUCAGAAUUUCUGUGAGAAGUUCUGCCAGUGCAACCCAGACUGUCAGAAUCGUUUCCCUGGCUGUCGCUGUAAGACCCAGUGCAAUACCAAGCAAUGUCCUUGCUAUCUGGCAGUGCGAGAAUGUGACCCUGACCUGUGUCUCACCUGUGGGGCCUCAGAGCACUGGGACUGCAAGGUGGUUUCCUGUAAAAACUGCAGCAUCCAGCGUGGCCUUAAGAAGCACCUGCUGCUGGCCCCCUCUGAUGUCGCCGGAUGGGGCACCUUCAUAAAGGAGUCUGUGCAGAAGAACGAAUUCAUUUCUGAAUACUGUGGUGAGCUCAUCUCUCAGGAUGAGGCUGAUCGACGCGGAAAGGUCUAUGACAAAUACAUGUCCAGCUUCCUCUUCAACCUCAAUAAUGAUUUUGUAGUGGAUGCUACUCGGAAAGGAAACAAAAUUCGAUUUGCAAAUCAUUCAGUGAAUCCCAACUGUUAUGCCAAAGGUGAGUCCCAGUAACCUGGGAGGUGGGGUGGGGGAUGGAUGCCUCUUUACUGUGAUUUCCAUUCGUUGUUGAACCUUUUCCUUAGCUCAGCUAUUUUUUGUCCAAAGAUAAUCAUGAUUAAUAUCUGGUAUCAUUUUAGGCCCCUCUCAAUCUUAGUUUUGUAAUCUGCUUUUUUCAGCGAAUACAUUAUAAACACUUUCCCACAAACAUGAUUUAACCAGCCUGAGCAACAUAGUGAGACCCAUCUCACAAAAAAAUAAUAGGCUGGGUGUGGUGGCUUACGCCUGUAAUCCCAGCACUUUGGGAGGCUGAGGCAGGUGGAUCACUUGAGGCCAGGAGUUCAAGACCAGCCUAGCAAACAUGGUGAAACCCCACCUCUACUAAAAAUACAAAAAUCAGCUGGGGGGCGUGGCGGUGUGCACCUGUAGUCCCAGCUACUCAGGUGGCUGAGGCACAAGAAUCGCUUGAACCCUGGAGGCAGAGGUUGCAAUGAGCCAAGAUCAUGCCACUGCACUCCAGCCUGGGCAACAGAGCAAGACUCUGUCUC